GAUUUCUGGUUUGACGAGUAUCUGGCCCGCCAAGUUCGCUUGUGUGUGUGCCGGAUUUCGUCUGCCAUCCUUCUAAGCUUGAAGCGGCAUAGUCCUUUAUUGGGCUGUGUUGUGUUCUGGCUUAGAUCUUUGACUUUGAACAAAUUAGAGUGUUUCAGGCAGGCUGUGUGCUAUGAAUACAUUAGCAUGGAAUAAUAAUUUAGGACUUCGGUUCUAUUUUGUUGGUUUCUAGGACUGAAGUAAUGAUUGAUAGGGAUAGUUGGGGGUGCUAGUAUUCAGCGGCCAGAGGUGAAAUUCUCGGAUUCGCUGAAGACUAACUUAUGCGAAAGCAUU
rnacentral:rRNA from 1 species